rnacentral:rRNA from 1 species
CCUACGGGGGGCAGCAGUGGGGAAUAUUGGACAAUGGGGGCAACCCUGAUCCAGCCAUGCCGCGUGUGUGAAGAAGGCCCUCGGGUUGUAAAGCACUUUCAGUGAGGAAGAACGCCUGGUGGUUAAUACCCAUCAGGAAAGACAUCACUCACAGAAGAAGCACCGGCUAACUCCGUGCCAGCAGCCGCGGUAAUACGGAGGGUGCGAGCGUUAAUCGGAAUUACUGGGCGUAAAGCGCGCGUAGGUGGCUUGAUAAGCCGGUUGUGAAAGCCCCGGGCUCAACCUGGGAACGGCAUCCGGAACUGUCAAGCUAGAGUGCAGGAGAGGAAGGUAGAAUCCCCGGUGUAGCGGUGAAAUGCGUAGAGAUCGGGAGGAAUACCAGUGGCGAAGGCGGCCUUCUGGACUGACACUGACACUGAGGUGCGAAAGCGUGGGUAGCAAACAGGAUUAGAUACCCCGGUAGUC